AAAGUCUCUUCUCGCGAGAUACAUUUAUGCAGCGUUCACUGUCCCGUGGGAAAUAAUGUAAUGUCGAGCUUCAUUGAAGAAUCUGUCAGAAAUCAGAUGAUCCGACAAAAGCACCGCCCUCACUGACUGUGUUGAAGAGCGACAUCUGCUGGUUCAAUGACAGAACAGCUCCAUCUCUGGAAAGUGACACAAUCAGGUGUGGCCUAGCUUUCUGGUCGUCGGUGGUGCGGCACACCUGAAUCUCAUCCACC